GAUGAAGAACGUAGCGAAAUGCGAUACUUGGUGUGAAUUGCAGAAUCCCGUGAACCAUCGAGUCUUUGAACGCAAGUUGCGCCCGAAGCCAUCAGGUUGAGGGCACGUCUGCCUGGGCGUCACAUAUCGUUGCCCAAUGCCUAUUGCAGUGCAAUAGGAAUUUCUAGGGCGAAUGAUGGCUUCCCGUGAGCGUUGUUGCCUCGCGGUUGGUUGAAAAUCGAGUCCUUGGUAGGGUGUGCCAUGGUAGAUGGUGGUCGAGUUAGAACGAUACCGAUCAUGUGCAUGCUCCCCAAAAUAUGGCCUCUAUGACCCACACGCGUCUUUUGACGCUCAUGACGAGACCUCAAGUCAGGCGGGGCUACCCGCUGAAUUUAAGCAUAUCAAUAAGCGGAGGA
rnacentral:misc_RNA from 1 species